rnacentral:rRNA from 1 species
AAUCAACGCUGGCGGCGUGCCUCAGACAUGCAAGUCGAACGCGAAAGUCCCCUUCGGGGGACAAGUAGAGUGGCGCACGGGUGAGUAACACGUAGGUAAUCUACCUUCGGAUGGGGAAUAACAACCGGAAACGGUUGGCUAAUACCGCAUAAUGCAGCGGCACCUAAUGGUGACAGUUGUUAAAGCGGGGGAUCGUAAGACCUCGCGUCUGAAGAGGAGCCUGCGGCGGAUUAGCUAGNGGUAGGGUAACGGCCUACCAAGGCGACGAUCCGUAGCCGGCCUGAGAGGGCGGUCGGCCACACUGACACUGACAUACGGGUCAGACUCCUACGGGAGGCAGCAGUCGGAAUUUUGGGCAAUGGGCGAAAGCCUGACCCAGCAACGCCGCCGUGAAGGAU